ACCCACCAUACGUAAUGGUAUGGUAUCCUUAUCUGAAUACAUAGGGUAAGGAAGACAGACCCAGGGAACUGAAACAUCUAAGUACCUGGAGGAAGAGAAAGCAAAUGCGAUUUCCUGAGUAGCGGCGAGCGAAACGGAACAUAGCCCAAACCAAGAGGCUUGCCUCUUGGGGUUGUAGGACAUUCUAUACGGAGUUACAAAGGAACGAGGUAGACGAAGCGACCUGGAAAGGUCCGUCGUAGAGGGUAACAACCCCGUAGUCGAAACUUCGUUCUCUCUUGAAUGUAUCCUGAGUACGGCGGAACACGUGAAAUUCCGUCGGAAUCUGGGAGGACCAUCUCCCAAGGCUAAAUACUCCCUAG
rnacentral:rRNA from 1 species